AACGAACGCUGGCGGCAGGCUUAACUCAUGCAAGUCGAACGCGUGUAGCAAUACACGAGUGGCGCACGGGUGAGUAACGCGUGGAUAUCUGCCUUUUGGUUCGGAAUAACUCCGGGAAACUGGAGCUAAUACCGGAUGGUUCCUUCGGGAUAAAGAUUUAUCGCCAAAAGAUGAGUCCGCGUACGAUUAGCUAGUUGGUGAGGUAAUGGCUCACCAAGGCGACGAUCGUUAGCUGGUCUGAGAGGACGAUCAGCCACACUGGGACUGAGACACGGCCCAGACUCCUACGGGAGGCAGCAGUGGGGAAUAUUGGACAAUGGGGGCAACCCUGAUCCAGCCAUGCCGCGUGAGUGAUGAAGGCCUUCGGGUUGUAAAGCUCUUUUGGCGGGGACGAUGAUGACGGUACCCGCAGAAUAAGCCCCGGCUAACUUCGUGCCAGCAGCCGCCGUAAAAC
rnacentral:rRNA from 1 species